rnacentral:hammerhead_ribozyme from 1 species
AUCCAGCUGACAAGUUCGAAAUAGGACGGAACGCACAUCCUGGAU